CGUCGCCUACAGCGAGUGAUGCUGUCGAGCGAAUGGAUCGGAAGCUUGCUCCCUGAAGUUAGCGGCGGACGGGUGAGUAACACGUGGGCAACCUGCCUGUAAGACUGGGAUAACUUCGGGAAACCGGAGCUAAUACCGGAUAACUUCUUUCCUCGCAUGAGGAAAGGUUAAAAGACGGUUAUGCUGUCACUUACAGAUGGGCCCGCGGCGCAUUAGCUAGUUGGUGAGGUAACGGCUCACCAAGGCGACGAUGCGUAGCCGACCUGAGAGGGUGAUCGGCCACACUGGGACUGAGACACGGCCCAGACUCCUACGGGAGGCAGCAGUAGGGAAUCUUCCGCAAUGGACGAAAGUCUGACGGAGCAACGCCGCGUGAGUGAAGAAGGUCUUCGGAUCGUAAAACUCUGUUAUCAGGGAAGAAUAAGUACCGUGUAACUAACGGUACCUUGACGGUACCUGACCAGAAAGCCACGGCUAACUACGUGCCAGCAGCCGCGGUAAUACGUAGGUGGCAAGCGUUGUCCGGAAUUAUUGGGCGUAAAGCGCGCGCAGGCGGUUUCUUAAGUCUGAUGUGAAAUCUCGCGGCUCAACCGUGAGCGGUCAUUGGAACUGGGAAACUUGAGUGCAGAAGAGAAGAGCGGAAUUCCACGUGUAGCGGUGAAAUGCGUAGAGAUGUGGAGGAACACCAGUGGCGAAGGCGGCUCUUUGGUCUGUAACUGACGCUGAGGCGCGAAAGCGUGGGGAGCGAACAGGAUUAGAUACCCUGGUAGUCCACGCCGUAAACGAUGAGUGCUAAGUGUUAGAGGGUUUCCGCCCUUUAGUGCUGCAGCAAACGCAUUAGCACUCCGCCUGGGGAGUACGGCCGCAAGGCUGAAACUCAAAGGAAUUGACGGGGCCCGCACAAGCGGUGGAGCAUGUGGUUUAAUUCGAAGCACGCGAAGAACCUUACAGGUCUGACAUCGUAUGGACCUCCCUAGAAUUGGAUUCCCUCGGGACAUAAGUGACAGUGGUGCAUGCUGUCGUCAGCUCGGUCGUAGAGAUUGUGGGUUAGUCCGCACAAGGCCAACCCUGGACCUUAGUUGCCAGUUCACAGUGGGCACUCUAAGGUAGUGCGGUAACACGGAGAGGGUAUAGCCUAUCUACGCCUAUAGCUCGUCACACGGUAC
rnacentral:rRNA from 1 species